UUUAUUUGAUAAUUUAAUACAUUUUGGUGCAACUGUUUUCGUUUUCGUCGUUACAAGCCAGAGAACAAUAAAAAAGGUGACGCACAGCCAACAACAACAACAACAACAACACCAACAGCAGCAGCAACAACAAUGGCAGCAACAAUAACAACAAUGGCAACACUUGUGCGUAUGUCUCCGACUACGACUGCGACUUUGACUGCGAGUUGGGGUGCUACAAAUAGUGAAAUAGCCCAACGUACAUCGUAAAUAUUUCAACUGCAACAACUGGGGAACAAGAGCAACAAGAACAACACAGGCAACAUGGACAGCAGCAGCAAUAACGAGCAGCAGUAGCAAGCGAGAAGCUGGAACCGGAGCAGGAGCAGCAGCAGCAGCAGCAGCAGCAGGACGACAAGGAUGCUGCUGCGGGGCUAGGCAGAGAAUCGAUAGAUUGCACCUGGUACCUAGUACGUAGAAAUGUCCCAAACCAGAACCAGAACCAGAACCUCUACAACCUGCGACACCAACAAAACCAGCAAGCAACAAGACCAUCAACAAAAGAAAAAAUAAUAAAAAAAGCAGCAACAACAAAAAACAACAUUCAACAAAAACAAUAAAGGAGCAAGUCGAACUGGGUUUUGGUGCCAACACUGCCACCUCCGCCAGCUCCGCUCCACAUCGCCCAGCUCACCCUGCACGCCCAGCUCGUGCCACCUCAGCUCAGUUGAGCGUUGUGCUCAGCAGUUUUGGUCCGUUCCCCUGACUCGCAACCCAUGCGAAAAUUUGAAGCGAUUUAUUUACUUUUUGCCAUUGCCAUUGCCAUUUGCCGCUGCCGCUGCCGCUGCCGCCGCUGCUCCUCGUCUUGCUCGCCUCGUCGUUGUAUUUUUUUGGCAAAUGCUCUGCAGCAACAAAUUGUGGCAUAUGGACAUUAAAAGCAAUUUUAAUCAGGAUUUCGUACUUACUAUACUACUGGAAGCUUGGCCGAGUGCUCACUGCAGUCGCCUAUAAAUCGCAAUUUUGUGAUAUUUUAUUAUCAAUUUGUAUCAAUAUUCUUGUAUAUA